UGAAGUAUAUCUCAGUGUAGAGAGUUCGCUUUGCCCGUGAAAGGCUCUGGGUUCGAUCCCCAGUUUUUUCAA